AUGUCUAUGUGGCUCAUGAAUAAAACUUUCAUCGAGCAUUUAUACAAACAUAGAAGAAAGUUUUUCUGGCAAGGGUGCAAUAAGAAGAGGAGGUACCAUCUGGUUAGAUGGGAUAGGAUCUACAGAUCUAGAGAUAAGGGUGGCCUGGGUGUUAAAGAUUUACACAAGCAGAAUGUUAGUUCGAUGGUCAAGUGGUGGUGGAAACUAGAGACCCAAACGGGUAUGUGGCAAGAUAUUGUUCGGGCGCGCUACCUGACUAACAAAUCUGUGACGUCGGUUAAGCCCAGAUUUUCUGAUUCCCCUUGUUGGAAAGCCCUGCUUAAAGUCAAAGAUAUCUACUUGGUAGGUAGAAAAAUCCAUUUGGAAUCUGGCGACCUCGUUAGAGUCUGGAUAGAUUCCAUAAACGGGCUGAGUCCUUUUCAGACCCUUUACCCUUCGUUGUUUGAGAUCUGUAAUAAUCAGGAUUGCACUAUUGACAGAUUCAAGUUUGUGGAUGUCCACUCUUUCUUCAGA
rnacentral:rRNA from 1 species